GUGUCAGCAGCCGCGGUAAUACGUAGGUGGCGAGCGUUGUCCGGAAUUACUGGGUGUAAAGGGCGUGUAGGCGGGAAAGCAAGUUAGAUGUGAAAGCCCAUGGCUUAACUGUGGAACUGCAUCUAAAACUGUUUUUCUUGAGUGAUGGAGAGGAAAGUGGAAUUCCCAGUGUAGCGGUGAAAUGCGUAGAGAUUGGGAGGAACACCAGUGGCGAAGGCGGCUUUCUGGACAUUAACUGACGCUGAGGCGCGAAAGCGUGGGGAGCGAACAGGAUUAGAUACCCUGGUAGUCCACGCCGUAAACGAUGGAUACUAGGUGUAGGAGGUAUCGACCCCUUCUGUGCCGGAGUUAACACAAUAAGUAUCCCACCUGGGGAGUACGGCCGCAAGGUUGAA
rnacentral:rRNA from 1 species